rnacentral:rRNA from 1 species
AUUGAACGCUGGCGGCAUGCCUUACACAUGCAAGUCGAACGGCAGCACGGGUGCUUGCACCUGGUGGCGAGUGGCGAACGGGUGAGUAAUAUAUCGGAAUGUACCUUAUCGUGGGGGAUAACGCAGCGAAAGCUGUGCUAAUACCGCAUAAGCCCUAAGGGGGAAAGCAGGGGACCGUAAGGCCUUGCGCGAUUAGAGCGGCCGAUACCUGAUUAGCUAGUUGGUGAGGUAAAGGCUCACCAAGGCAACGAUCAGUAGCUGGUCAGAGAGGACGAUCAGCCACACUGGGACUGAGACACGGCCCAGACUCCUACGGGAGGCAGCAGUGGGGAAUUUUGGACAAUGGGGGCAACCCUGAUCCAGCAAUGCCGCGUGAGUGAAGAAGGCCUUCGGGUUGUAAAGCUCUUUUGUCAGGGAAGAAACAGCAGCUCUAAUACAGUAUGCGAAUGACGGUACCUGAAGAAUAAGCACCGGCUAACUACGUGCCAGCAGCCGCAGUAA